rnacentral:rRNA from 1 species
UUGACCUCGGAUCAGGUAGGAAUACCCGCUGAACUUAAGGAUAUCAAUAA